AAAACAAUGAAAAAUAAAUCUUUGACCUUUGGUAUUGUGACUCCACCCAACAGACACACUCAGAUCUCCUGCUGCUUUCAUGAAGAGGAACCUUAACAUGCAGGAAACUUUACAGAGUCAGUGGAGGAGAUCAAACUGUUCAGAUCAAUCAUGGAUAAAACACAAACAUCUGGAGAUGAAGAUUUGUUUCCGGGAUACAGUUCAGUUCAGCAGAGGAGAUCAGAAGCAGAGCCCAGCCAUGUGUCUAUGAAGAGUGACGCAUCUAUGAUUCAGCCAGUAAAGUUUAAGAGUGGAGAUACAAGACCUGGACUCAGUUUAGUUCAUCAGAAGAGAUCAGAAGCAGAGCCCAGCCAUGUGUCUAUGAAGAGUGACACGUCUAUGAUUCAGCCAGUAAAGUUUAAGAGUGGAGAUACACGGCCUGGUCUCAGCUCAGGUCAAUGGAAGAGAUCAGAAGCAGAGCCCAGCCAUGUGUCUAUGAAGAGUGA
ensembl:lncRNA